rnacentral:rRNA from 1 species
CCUACGGGAGGCAGCAGUGAGGAAUAUUGGUCAAUGGACGAGAGUCUGAACCAGCCAAGUAGCGUGAAGGAUGACUGCCCUAUGGGUUGUAAACUUCUUUUAUAUGGGAAUAAAAUGUUCCACGUGUGGGAUUUUGUAUGUACCAUAUGAAUAAGGAUCGGCUAACUCCGUGCCAGCAGCCGCGGUAAUACGGAGGAUCCGAGCGUUAUCCGGAUUUAUUGGGUUUAAAGGGAGCGUAGGUGGAUUGUUAAGUCAGUUGUGAAAGUUUGCGGCUCAACCGUAAAAUUGCAGUUGAAACUGGCAGUCUUGAGUACAGUAGAGGUGAGCGGAAUUCGUGGUGUAGCGGUGAAAUGCUUAGAUAUCACGAAGAACUCCGAUUGCGAAGGUAGUUCACUGGACUGCAACUGACACUGAGGCUCGAAAGUGUGGGUAUCAAACAGGAUUAGAUACCCCUGUAGUC